GAAAGGCGCGCGAUACAGGGUGACAGCCCCGUACACAAAAAUGCACAUGCUGUGAGCUCGAUGAGUAGGGCGGGACACGUGGUAUCCUGUCUGAAUAUGGGGGGACCAUCCUCCAAGGCUAAAUACUCCUGACUGACCGAUAGUGAACCAGUACCGUGAGGGAAAGGCGAAAAGAACCCCGGCGAGGGGAGUGAAAAAGAACCUGAAACCGUG
rnacentral:rRNA from 1 species